rnacentral:rRNA from 1 species
UGAGGAAUAUUGGUCAAUGGGCGCAAGCCUGAACCAGCCAUGCCGCGUGCAGGAUGAAGCAUCUAUGGUGUGUAAACUGCUUUUGUACGGGAAGAAACCACCCCUCGUGAGGGGUAUUGACGGUACCGUAAGAAUAAGGAUCGGCUAACUCCGUGCCAGCAGCCGCGGUAAUACGGAGGAUCCAAGCGUUAUCCGGAAUCAUUGGGUUUAAAGGGUCCGUAGGCGGUUUAAUAAGUCAGUGGUGAAAGCCCAUCGCUCAACGAUGGAACGGCCAUUGAUACUGUUAGACUUGAAUUACAAGGAAGUAACUAGAAUAUGUAGUGUAGCGGUGAAAUGCGUAGAUAUGCGGAGGAACACCGAUGGCGAAGGCAAUCCCCUGGACCUGUACUGACGCUCAUGCACGAAAGCGUGAGGAGCAAACA